UACAGAGGAUGCAAGCGUUAUCCGGAAUGAUUGGGCGUAAAGCGUCUGUAGGUGGCUUUUUAAGUCCGCCGUCAAAUCCCAGGGCUCAACUCUGGACAGGCGGUGGAAACUACCAAGCUGGAGUACGGUAGGGGCAGAGGGAAUUUCCGGUGGAGCGGUGAAAUGCGUAGAGAUCGGGAAGAACAUCGGUGGCGAAAGCGCUCUACUGGACCGCAACUGACACUCAGGGACGAAAGCUAGGGGAGCGAAUGGG
rnacentral:rRNA from 1 species